rnacentral:rRNA from 1 species
GCCUUUUGUAGAAUGAACCGGCGAGUUACGAUUUGAUGCAAGGUUAAGCAGUAAAUGUGGAGCCGUAGCGAAAGCGAGUCUGAAUAGGGCGUUUAGUAUUUGGUCGUAGACCCGAAACCAGGUGAUCUACCCUUGGUCAGGUUGAAGUUCAGGUAACACUGAAUGGAGGACCGAACCGACUUACGUUGAAAAGUGAGCGGAUGAACUGAGGGUAGCGGAGAAAUUCCAAUCGAACCUGGAGAUAGCUGGUUCUCUCCGAAAUAGCUUUAGGGCUAGCCUCAAGUGAUGAUUAUUGGAGGUAGAGCACUGUUUGGACGAGGGGCCCCUCUCGGGUUACCGAAUUCAGACAAACUCCGAAUGCCAAUUAAUUUAACUUGGGAGUCAGAACAUGGGUGAUAAGGUCCGUGUUCGAAAGGGAAACAGCCCAGACCACCAGCUAAGGUCCCAAAAUAUAUGUUAAGUGGAAAAGGAUGUGGCGUUGCCCAGACAACUAGGAUGUUGGCUUAGAAGCAGCCAUCAUUUAAAGAGUGCGUAAUAGCUCACUAGUCGAGUGACACUGCGCCGAAAAUGUACCGGGGCUAAACAUAUUACCGAAGCUGUGGAUUGUCCUUUGGACAAUGGUAGGAGAGCGUUCUAAGGGCGUUGAAGCAUGAUCGUAAGGACAUGUGGAGCGCUUAGAAGUGAGAAUGCCGGUGUGAGUAGCGAAAGACGGGUGAGAAUCCCGUCCACCGAUUGACUAAGGUUUCCAGAGGAAGGCUCGUCCGCUCUGGGUUAGUCGGGUCCUAAGCUGAGGCCGACAGGCGUAGGCGAUGGAUAACAGGUUGAUAUUCCUGUACCACCUAUAAUCGUUUUAAUCGAUGGGGGGACGCAGUAGGAUAGGCGAAGCGUGCGAUUGGAUUGCACGUCUAAGCAGUAAGGCUGAGUAUUAGGCAAAUCCGGUACUCGUUAAGGCUGA